rnacentral:lncRNA from 1 species
ACCCCAUUCCCGAUAACCUGGCAUUUUCACAAACUCGGCCACCCUUCGGUCGACAUUAGGCCGAGUUUUCGGGACUCUACUGUAUCUUCAUUUAUCUUUAAAUAUUGGACAUAUUGCUCAAAUAAGAUAAAAUAUAUAAAUCAUGUUACUUAUUUUCACACUUGCAGCACUUUUUUGAUAUCUGUAGGAUCUGCUAUAUUUAUUCCUAACAGAUAUUUUUCUUCUUGAUUUUAUUAUUAAAAAUGCUUAAAUAUCUGUAAAUGUAAAUAUGCAAUAUAUAUUGAAAAUAUUGAUUUAUCAGUUACUUCAAAAAUAAGAUUGAAAAUGUGUAGAGUGAUCUUUUUUGCAAAUAGUGUCAUUGUAUAUAUCCACUAUGGUCAAACUGUGGAUCAUGAAUUGCACAAAGAUCUUUACCACCUUCAAUACAGCUCCAUACUAUGAACAUUCAAUAGUUUUUAUGAAGCAGUACCUAUUUCAUUUAAAAACAUAUUUUUAAUUCAUUUAUUUAUUGCAAAAAAUAGUAUGGAUCUAUACAAAAUAAAUGUGUGUGAAAUCUAUAUAAAACACAAAAUUAAUUGUAGGUUAAAAGUUUUUAUUAAAUGGUGUUUAUAUAUAAAACUUUACAACAAAAAAUAGUUUUCAACCUAAUCAAGUCAUAUUCUUCAUUAUAAAAGUUCAUAUAUAUACUCCAUCUACUAAAGACUUUUAAUCUAUGAUUUGUGCUUGUGUUUUAUGCAUUUUUAAAAGUCAAGUAGAUGAAUUUGUUACUUCUGUGAAAUAUAUAACAACAAUUUUUGAAAUUUUGAAAUCAUUUGUUAAGAUUACCCGGAAAAAACAGACUGCAGUUUGUGACUAUUUCAGAUUUUUGUAUGUGGUUCAUAGAGAUGAAAUUUGGCCAUUUCUGCUAUAUAUUAUCAAUUAUUUAUUUUAUUAAAUUAAAUGUAGCAAUUCUCAUAUUUCUGAUCAAACAAUCAGUGCAAUCUCUGUUAAUUCCGAUAGCUUAAUAAAUAGCUGAUUAUUUUACAGGCAGUUUCAAUCAUCAAAUUUGUACUGUAACAAUUGUAUGUAUUUGUUGACUUUCUGCUUCCAUCAGUUGCAGCAAAAUUUCUUUUAUACAUUUUACUUUCUAUUUGUUAUUGUUUUGACUCCCUUUGUUAAUAUUUUUGUUGCAA